rnacentral:tRNA from 1 species
GCGCCUCUAGCUCAGUUGGUAGAGCAGUAGACUCUUAAUCUAUUUGUCCAGGGUUCAAGUCCCUGGAGGCGCA